UGGGGAAUUUUGGACAAUGGACGCAAGUCUGAUCCAGCCAUGCCGCGUGCGGGAAGAAGGCCUUCGGGUUGUAAACCGCUUUUAGCCGGGACGAAAGCUGCACGGAUAACACCCGUGCGGGUUGACGGUACCGGCGGAAUAAGCACCGGCUAACUACGUGCCAGCAGCCGCGGUAAUACGUAGGGUGCGAGCGUUAAUCGGAAUUACUGGGCGUAAAGCGUGCGCAGGCGGUUCGUUGUGUCGGCGGUGAAAGCCCCGGGCUCAACCUGGGAAUGGCCGUUGAAACUGGCGAACUGGAGUGUGGCAGAGGGGGGUGGAAUUCCGCGUGUAGCAGUGAAAUGCGUAGAGAUGCGGAGGAACACCGAUGGCGAAGGCAGCCCCCUGGGCUGACACUGACGCUCAGGCACGAAAGCGUGGGGAGCAAACAGGAUUAGAUACC
rnacentral:rRNA from 1 species